CAAAUUUGAGUAUAGUCUCUCUACUAUAAAAUUCCAAUCUGAAUUGUGAAGGACCUAAGCCCUCCUUUUAUAGGAGUAAGGGCUGGUCAUUUACAUAGCUUAUUCCCUAAGCUACCCAAAAACUCCUAAGAUCACACCCCCCUUACUAAGCUCACUCCCCAAGCUCCUAGAAUUUGCUAAACUAAAGCCUAAAGAUGCUUUUACAAAAGAGGUGUCUCAUGUUUCCCUCUAAGCACCUUUCUAAACAUUAUUCUAUAUUAUUUACAAUUUAAAAGAAACUAUAAAGAGAGAUAUUUAAUAUGAAGCCUAUUAUUUGAGAGUUUGUAGACUUCUUUAUCUUUAGGCUUGAUCUUCUCUUUAACUUCUUUUAAUUUGUGAGAAGACUAGAAGGAAGAACUUCAAAUGUGUAGGUGAAAAUCCUCUUCCUU
rnacentral:lncRNA from 1 species